AUCUGGUAGGUUUGUGCCUAUUAAAUGUGUCAGUUUCAGUGUCUAUAUCAGUGGCUGGAGACAUCUGGUAGGUUUGUGCCUAUUAAAUGUGUCAGUUUCAGUGUCUAUAUCAGUGGCUGGAGACAUCUGGUAGGUUUGUGCCUAUUAAAUGUGUCAGUUUCAGUGUCUAUAUCAGUGGCUGGAGACAUCUGGUAGGUUUGUGCCUAUUAAAUGUGUCAGUUUCAGUGUCUAUAUCAGUGGCUGGAGACAUCUGGUAGGUUUGUGCCUAUUAAAUGUGUCAGUUUCAGUGUCUAUAUCAGUGGCUGGAGACAUCUGGUAGGUUUGUGCCUAUUAAAUGUGUCAGUUUCAGUGUCUAUAUCAGUGGCUGGAGACAUCUGGUAGGUUUGUGCCUAUUAAAUGUGUCAGUUUCAGUGUCUAUAUCAGUGGCUGGAGACAUCUGGUAGGUUUGUGCCUAUUAAAUGUGUCAGUUUCAGUGUCUAUAUCAGUGGCUGGAGACAUCUGGUAGGUUUGUGCCUAUUAAAUGUGUCAGUUUCAGUGUCUAUAUCAGUGGCUGGAGACAUCUGGUAGGUUUGUGCCUAUUAAAUGUGUCAGUUUCAGUGUCUAUAUCAGUGGCUGGAGACAUCUGGUAGGUUUGUGCCUAUUAAAUGUGUCAGUUUCAGUGUCUAUAUCAGUGGCUGGAGACAUCUGGUAGGUUUGUGCCUAUUAAAUGUGUCAGUUUCAGUGUCUAUAUCAGUGGCUGGAGACAUCUGGUAGGUUUGUGCCUAUUAAAUGUGUCAGUUUCAGUGUCUAUAUCAGUGGCUGGAGACAUCUGGUAGGUUUGUGCCUAUUAAAUGUGUCAGUUUCAGUGUCUAUAUCAGUGGCUGGAGACAUCUGGUAGGUUUGUGCCUAUUAAAUGUGUCAGUUUCAGUGUCUAUAUCAGUGGCUGGAGACAUCUGGUAGGUUUGUGCCUAUUAAAUGUGUCAGUUUCAGUGUCUAUAUCAGUGGCUGGAGACAUCUGGUAGGUUUGUGCCUAUUAAAUGUGUCAGUUUCAGUGUCUAUAUCAGUGGCUGGAGACAUCUGGUAGGUUUGUGCCUAUUAAAUGUGUCAGUUUCAGUGUCUAUAUCAGUGGCUGGAGACAUCUGGUAGGUUUGUGCCUAUUAAAUGUGUCAGUUUCAGUGUCUAUAUCAGUGGCUGGAGACAUCUGGUAGGUUUGUGCCUAUUAAAUGUGUCAGUUUCAGUGUCUAUAUCAGUGGCUGGAGACAUCUGGUAGGUUUGUGCCUAUUAAAUGUGUCAGUUUCAGUGUCUAUAUCAGUGGCUGGAGACAUCUGGUAGGUUUGUGCCUAUUAAAUGUGUCAGUUUCAGUGUCUAUAUCAGUGGCUGGAGACAUCUGGUAGGUUUGUGCCUAUUAAAUGUGUCAGUUUCAGUGUCUAUAUCAGUGGCUGGAGACAUCUGGUAGGUUUGUGCCUAUUAAAUGUGUCAGUUUCAGUGUCCAUAUCAGUGGCUGGAGACAUCUGGUAGGUUUGUGCCUAUUAAAUGUGUCAGUUUCAGUGUCUAUAUCAGUGGCUGGAGACAUCUGGUAGGUUUGUGCCUAUUAAAUGUGUCAGUUUCAGUGUCUAUAUCAGUGGCUGGAGACAUCUGGUAGGUUUGUGCCUAUUAAAUGUGUCAGUUUCAGUGUCUAUAUCAGUGGCUGGAGACAUCUGGUAGGUUUGUGCCUAUUAAAUGUGUCAGUUUCAGUGUCUAUAUCAGUGGCUGGAGACAUCUGGUAGGUUUGUGCCUAUUAAAUGUGUCAGUUUCAGUGUCUAUAUCAGUGGCUGGAGACAUCUGGUAGGUUUGUGCCUAUUAAAUGUGUCAGUUUCAGUAGGAGGCUGAUUCUCAGCAACAGCCCUUCCAACUGGUUGAUCAUUUACUUUUCACAAUCUUGAGAGACGCACUCUGACAACAGUGCAGCCGGGCCUCACAAAUAUCACCACACCUUCUUGGCCAAUGACUACUCCCGGGUCCUCUCCACUCGACAGUCAACUCGUUUGUAGUACACUUUGUAUCCAGUCUCGUACUUCUCAUCUGAGGGACGAAGCUGUGAAUUCUCUCUGAACACUCUCUGCUUCAGUGAACACUUCUCUGGCUGCAUGUAGUGCUGACAGGUGGAGUCCCACCCUUGCGCUCACACUGGUCCCUUCUAGUUUGUUUAUGUGUGUCUCUUACUCCCAUAAAGGACGGGCUUCCA